GCCACAGGCCCAAAGCAAUGGAGCCAGUGUACUACGGACUGAAACCUCUGCAACGGAACCAAAAUAACCCUCUCUCACUUUAAGUUGUGUCUGUCAGCUAUUUUGUCGCAGCAGCAGAAAGCCAACCGACACAGCCAUUUGGCUGGGGCUGGUGAGGGUCACACAUCGUGGUAGAAGUGCACGUCAGAGUGAGCAGCCCCAUCUCCAGCCAGGAGGAAAAAGAGAGAGAAGCCCUGGUCCCACAGUUCCUGUCGAGACGGGCCCCCAGUGACCCAUGCAGCUCCAUUCUGAAGGCCCACGGCACUUUGCAGUCCCGUCACCCCGGGGGCUACAGCUUUUCAGAGUGCUGGAGAUUGAACCCCUGGCCUCACAUAUCCUAAGCAAGCAUUCUAACAGAAAGCUACACCCGAACCCUGAAUGUCUCUUCUCAAUCAUUCGUGUCCCAUACCUAGGAGUAGAAUUGCUGGAUCCCAUGGUGAUUCUGUGUUUAACAUUUUACAUUCCCACCAGUAGUGUAUGAGAGUUCCAGUGUCUCUACAUCUUUGCCACCAUGUCUUUUUCUUUCCCUUCCCCUCCCUUUCCUUCCUCCCCUCCCCUCCCCCAGGUUACACUUCUGAAACUUCUGCUGUUGAUGAGGGGAAGCUGCACGCACAGAGAGUAACAUUCAGUGAUAUGUUGGCUGCAUGUUUUCAUCUGUCCACUACUGCAUUUCAGUCAGUUAGCCUCUGCUGAUGUCCUUAAACCCUUUCUCUGCCUAGUAUGCUCCGUUUUAGUAAAUGCACUGUCUCUGCAGGGCCGCUUGUGCCCUGGUAUUGCCCCAGGUAUCUGGACCUCUUCCUUCCUCCCUUACUCCUACACUUAAGCCACCAUGAGUUCCUGCUUAUUCCACCUGCAAAACACCUCUCAGAUAUCACUUCUAAUUUCUGCUACAGUCAUCAAAUUCAGGCCACCAUGACCACUCUCCUGCAGGCCUCUCCUUUCUUUAGCCAUUUGUAUUUGCUACCUACUGCUAUGUAAUAAAUGACCGCAAACAGCACCGUCAAACAACGCUUAUUUGUUAUCUCACACUUCCUGGGGGUCACAGAUGUCCUGGGGCUUUGCUAUGUGCUCAUAGCUUCUAAUAAAGUUGCCAUCAAGGUGUCGGCCAGGGCUUGCAUCACUUCCAGGCUGCACAGGGGGAAGACCCAGUUCCAGGCUCCUUCCUCUGGCUACUAGCAGGCCUCGGGUCCUUGCGACUGUUAGCCAAUUCUUUGUCAUGUACAUUCCUCUAGAGAGCAGCUCACAACACAGUAACUGGCUUUCCUCAGAGAAGUCAGCAAAAGAGUGACAGAAAGGGCCCCCAAAGUCACAAUUUCUGUAUAACUUAAUUUUAGAAGUGAUGUUCUAUCACAGUACUGUUUUCUGUUCAUGAGUAGUAACUCACAGGUCCCAGGGCACAGUCAGGGAGCAGAGGGUAUAAAGAGCAGAGGCCAUGUGGGAGGCUGUCUACCGCUGCUGGUCCUCGGACAGCCAGCGGGCUGAGUGUUUCCCACACGCAAAGUGUGCUCUCUUCCUCGGAUGGGCCUCCAAAGCAUCUUCCUCCUGUGGCACGGAUGUCCAGUGUGGCUCCCCUGGGCUGCACU